rnacentral:sRNA from 1 species
GGCAGCUCGGGAACUUUCCAGGAACAAAGCAGGAAUGGGAACAUUUAGAUGAAGCCAGCUCUGGGCUUUGUUUCUGUAUUUGUCAAAUAAAGAAGGUGAACCCCUUGGGGGUGUCAUCACAGCCACUGUAGCCCUGUGUGUACAUGGGGACCUGUCUUUAAGCAUUGAAAUAAAUCCGCCUGCAGAUGAUCAGUGCCUGUUCAAAAAGCUUCCAGUUGCAGCACCUGAAGAUGGUUCCUUUCUUCAUUCAGGAAAUACAGGGUCCUCAAAUCUACACCUGACUGGGGGCAGCCUACAGCCCUGUAGGAAAAUGAAAGAGCUUGGUUUCAGAGCUCUUCAGACUUGGACCAGCACGGAUGGCUCCACGUUCCGUAACAGGCAUGCCAAGGAUGUUUGGAUGAUGCUCAAGGCCAGUGAUUCCUGCCUGGUAGGCUUGCAGUCUCGCUGCUGACCUGACACGGUUCUCUGGAAGGGAGAAGAGUGGACACUGAACCUUAAAUCAGAGCAUCAUCAUUCCCACUAUGAUGCUGGGAAAUGACAUGAUCGUGUCAUUCUGCUCAGCUGGCGGGCUGCAGGGUUCUCUGUAUUUAAUCACACAAUGCAGAUCUUCCUUUGGCUGUAACAUUUCAAAUUUUACUACCAAUUUCUGUCUAAAAGGGUAAGCAAUGGGGGUGAUGGCUACUCUAGCAGCCAUUGUAAGACUUGGGGACUAAACUAUAAAAAGGAGCCCCCAGUCCCCACCACAAUCAGAGCAGCCACAUGCUGUCUCCUCAAGGACCCUGUACUCCCCCAGGGGAGGUUUGCUAGCCAGUUGCAGGAACAGUGAGUGUGGGGAGAUUCUGGAGGCUUCAGUCCCCAUGGGAACAGCACUGCAUGCAAAACACAGCCCACACAAAGGGCUUGAGCAAGAAAGAGAGGCACCAACCCCCUGCCAAAAGUUCUCAGAGUUCCCACAGUGAGUCUCAGAAAGGGAGAGUUUUGUUUGGUUCUGAAAACACAUAAUGAGGGUGUUAUAAGGAGAGCCACCUGCGUGCAUAAAGCAUAGCAAAGUCGUGCCCCUCCCUUCUGUGGAAUGUCCCCUAUGGCCGUUGGACCCUGCUGCCCUAAAGUAGCCUCCUCACUGGACAGAAGAAUCAAUUUCCUUGACCUAAUGAUGUAAUAUUAACCUUGCAAUCCCAGACCAGGUGGGGCUAAUAUUGUGUGGCCUUGCACAGCUGAAUGAUAACGGUGCCCAUGCUGUUUUAGAGUGUAGCUAUCAUCAAGGUUUCUGUCCCCUCUACAGUGUCAGGACCAAAUACUGACAUCCUGCCUGAGCUCUUUCCCUCCCUAAGGUUUCCCUGAGCAGAAGCCCUACCCCUUACUGAACCUGCAUGGCAAAGUGUGGCUGAUGCUGGGACCAAAGAAGUCCCUGCAGACAAGAGCAGCGCUUCUGAAAGUGAAGGACCACCUGCAGCACCUGCUAAACAGGCUAUUCCUGGUCCCCACACAAGCCUUCCUUGACAUCCUGGGCCCUGAGAGGUGACUGAGAGCAAAGCAUCUGUCCCAGCCCUGGCACCUCUUGGUUGUGGGGCCUCAGAGUCCUCUCAGAGACCAUUACCAAUUUUUGAAGCAAUAAUUUAGAUGAAGCUCUUAGAACUGUGCAUGGCAUGUAGUAAAUACUGUUAGCUAUCUUUUAAGCAAAUAUCCCAGAUUCAUGCAAAACUUAAGAAUCACUGCCCCUGGGAAUUGAUCAAAAGCUUUCAGAAAGGGCUCCUGCCCAACAUUUUUAGAGCCCGAAUAAAGUGGAAAACAAAACUCAAUGUAAUCACUUCGCUCCCGUUCCUGGCAUUGGAUAAAAAGCACUGUGGGCAGCGUCUGCUUUCCCAGCCCCCUCUCAGCAGGGUGGGCCAAGCCCUGAUGCUGAGUGCUCAGUGCCUCUGAAUGCAGAGGUCCCGGGGGAGGCUUCUGGGGUGUGGGGUGGAUGGGAGCAGGCCCUCAGCCCCUUUGUGUAGGUUACCCCGGCAUCCACCACACUAAUCCAUUUCCACUAAACUCUUGGUGAUACUGCUCUGUGAGUCUUCUGGAAAUAACACAGGAAAACAAGACUUUGGCAAAAGCAAAUAUAGCUAUACUUCACCAAUAUUGCCGGUUUGGUUCCAGACCUCUGCAAUAAAGUGAAUAUCACUAUCAAGCAAGUCACAAAUUUUUGCUUUCCCAGCACAUGUGAAGAUUAUGUUUACACUAUACUGUAUGUUUUAAGUAUUCAAUAGCAUUAUGUGUAAAAAAAUGUACAUACCUUAACUUUAAAAUACUUUGUUGCAAAAAAUGCUGACAUGGACACACAAAAUGAGCACAUGCUGUUGGGAAAAUGGUGCCAUUAGACUUGGUCAAGGGAGGGCAGCAGCAAACAUUCACUUUGUGAAAGAUGCAAUAUCUGUGCACUGCAAUAAAGCAAGACGCAAUACAACAAGGUCUACCUAUAAGCCAAAAAAAAAAAAGGACUUGAAGUCAUGUUUUAUUUCCCUGCAUGGGAUCAGCUUAUACCUGCAUCCUUUCUGACUUAACUAGUGAAAUACUUCAUGCAUAAACAGGAUGGGAGCUGCUUCCCUGCAGAAUCACUGCCCUGAGGAUGAAUGGCCUCCUGGGACCAAAACCGACAGGUCAGGACUCUGGGAGAGACCAGGCAGGCAGUUCCAUUCCUCUCUGUGGCACAACCUGUGGUUGCUGAUGACUUUUUGAGUCCGGGGCAGGGCGUCUUUGGAUAGCCUCCACUCCAUGGCUUCUGGAACAAUCCUUGGAAAAUGGCACAGCUUAUGCCAAGACCUGCAUUAACACAGAUCAUGUCAUUUUUGCUCUCCUACCCACUGCAUCAAUGCACAAAGGAAAUUAAUUUCCCUUCAGAAAUAGGGAGUCAAGAAUGAUGUAAUCGCUGUAACAAUCAAUUCUGAAAAGGGUUUAUUUCAAUGGAGAAGUGCUCAUAGGCCUGUGCUCGGGCUCAUGGGCAUAGGGUUGGCUGCCUGUGUCUACCCUGGCUUUGCAGUGCCUCUUCUUUCUCCUGGGCAUUUGUGUUACUUAAAACUUCCUGAAGCUUCUCCAUCAGCUGCUAACUGUCAUGGCCAGAUUCAGCCCACACAACCCUCAGGCUCAUCAGGAGAGUUCUGUGCACCCAGAUGGGAGCCUUCUCUCUUUCGGAAGCCUGUUCUCCCUACCUCUGUGUGUGGCAGGAACAUUUCUGAAAAGUCCCUUCAAUGGGCAUCAAAGCCAGUUCUCAUCACUUGGGGAGAAGACUGCAUUUUGUCACCAAAUCGACCACGUGCCAAGUCCCCGGGUGGUAGAGGAUUGUGAGCCAGACAGCCUCAUUUGGAGCCUCAUUUGCCUGAUCAAAACAAGCCACAUGAGCCAUGGAUGCCACCACAGAAAUUUGGGAAAUGCCCCUCAUGUGCAAACAGCACCUCCCUUUCUGCUGGGGAGAGCCCUCCCAGUGACAACCGGGCAGAUCACUCAACAGCGCUGAGCUUUAAGCUCUAUGCCCAUGCGUCCUCUGCAGGAGGGUCAGGCUAGCAUGCCCCUGGGGUUUCAAUAGACAUUUCUGUACUUUCUAGUCAUUUGACUCCCCUGAGUAAAUUAGGCAUUAACUGACAGUUGGGGACACCAGGUGCUUAACGGUUCCCACGUCGGUCAACUCAGGAAACGUGGAAGAUCCAAAGCUUCUAUGCAGCCCAAGUCAGUGAGACAAAGCACCAGUCUGGUCUGGAAGGUGGGAGACCUGAGCACCGGUGGCAGCUUUGAGUGUUUUCUAGAACACUCCAACCCCCAUGCCCACCUGGAUGAAAAGCCCCAGACGUCUCCACACCUGGGCCCACGGCACCAACUGCGCUUUAUUAUGUUUUCUUGAUUUUCUCUGUCUCUCCCACCAGACUUUAUGCUCCUUAAGGGCAGGGCUUGUGUUCUUUUUCCCUGUGUCCCUAACACCUGGUAUGAAGCCUGGCACACAGCAGGCCCUUUGAUAAGGCACAUGUGUGUGUAACAGGGUGUCAAAGGGAAUUUCAGCCUGUGACACUAAGAGACACUUGCUCUCUUAUUCCAAAGGAGGCAUUAAACAGUGUGCAGAGCUUACAAAUGCCUUCUUUGACCUGCAGGGAGCUUAUGAAUUGGCCAGAAGACUAGAGGUUGAAAGAGGGUUUGGGCAGAAUGUAGUGGGGAUGAGCCCCCUCCGAGAGGGGAAGGUGGGGAUCCCCCCUCACCUCCAGCCUUGUGAACAGGCCAGAACUGCUCAGCCUGGCAGCACCCCAUGACUUGAGUCUCUGAGUGGUCCUGGGAAGCAUCUCCAACUGGGGGACACCGAUAGCAGGCAGGUUCUGAUACUUGGAAAUGCUGAAUGCAGGUGCUGAUGGAGCAUCUGGGCACACAGGGUGGGGAGCUGUGGUUUGGGACAUGGCUGGACUGUCAGUUGUUUGGACAGCAAAGGGUGCUCAGUGUUGCCCAAGGAUCAAGCAAGAAAAAGAGAAUUGGUGUAGGGUUGUUUUAGAUCCAAUGUUACAAAGCUGCCUGGGGGACGGAGGGGAGGCAGUGGGAGGUGAAGGCACCUCCACAGUGAAACUCGAAGAAAUAGCCCAAAAGCCUGGACCUGAGAGGGUAGUGAGGAGCAGGAGGGACGUGCAUGGCCUCCAUCAUGGAAGACUCAGGGUUGGGGGGAUGUCCAGGGAUGGGCGAAAUGGCAGGGAGUCUUCCAAAAACCCAUGAAGACAUCCACAGGAGGAAAGCCAGGUUUGAGUAUUCAGGGAGCAGGAUGCAGCUAAUAGGAAGCUGUCCUGCCUCACAGCCUCUUCCUCCUUCCCCUGUUCUCCAUUCUGGAUGGUUUGGAAAACCCAGCUAGCAAGUUAGGAAGAGGGGAGGUGGAAGGAGUGGUGGAGAGAGAGUAGAAGCCAACUGAUCCCCCUUCUCCACCUGCAAAAGGCCCACACUGGGGAAGAGCACAAGCCAUAGGUACAACGAGGGCAAGAGUUUUGACUAUUUCUUUUUUUUUUUUUUUUUUUUUUUUUUUGAGACGGAGUCUUGCUCUGUUGCCCAGGCUGGAGUGCAGUGGCACAAUCUUGGCUCACUGCAAGCUCUACCUCCCAGGUUCACACCAUUCUCCUGCCUCAGCCUCCCAAGUAGCUGGCACUACAGGCCCCUGCCACCACGCCUGCCUAAUUUUUUGUAUUUUUAGUAGAGACAGGGUUUCACCGUAGUCUCGAUCUCCUGACCUCGUGAUCCACCUACCUCGGCCUCCCAAAGUGCUGGGAUUACAAGCAUGAGCCAAUGUGCCCGGCCGAGUUUUGACUAUUUCUUGGACUGGGGCCUCUAAUUAUGGAUGAGAGGACGUUGCAUUACACACAGUGACAUGCAGGGCCAGAGUAGUCCCGAGUGUUCAUCCAAGAUAGGGAAGAUCUAGCCACACUCCAAAAACUGAAAGGGGUAGUGGCCACAGAAAUGCAGUUGCUUUGUGAUUAUCUUUUCAUGCCUUGAGCUCGUUCAACAGAAUGGUUACAUGUGAAUGAGUGUUGAGGAGACAUCUAAACUCACUUUCAAUUCUAAAGCUCAGUAAUACUUUUGGGUAGCUAUAUGCUGACAUGGGUCACCCAUUCUAGACCUUGAAUUCCAAAUUAUCUUCAAAGGCUGCCCACCUGCCCUACUCCAGCCCCCAGGUCCUCUGGAAGUCUAAGACAAUCUCAAGUCAUCUACCAGUCAGCAUGCAAUCCUCUCUGGCCCCAAGCCCAAUGGAACCACAUGAGGGAACCUCUCACGAGUUCAGUGCAUGGUUCUCAGCCCUCCAAGUUUCACAGGCUCCAGAGAAUUUAAGAAGCCUAGAAGUUUCCCUGGUUUCCCAGUAGUUAUAGUCUUAUGGAAGCCCUGAAUCUGAGGACCAGGUGAGCAGUGACCUGAGCUCACCCUGGGCAUUCCCUCAGAGCUUCCAAGUGACCACUCUGCCAAAGAAGGUGGGUGAUCAGUUUGUAGUCCAAGCUCCCCAGAAGCAUUCACAGCCUGCAGAGAAUGCAGGGAUUGGUCCUGGCCCUUCCCCUCAGCCAGCUGAGAGCCUUGGUGGCAACCCGAGCUCCCCUGAGCUCCAUUUCCUCAUGUAAUCUGUCAUUCUUACUCAAGGCUGCACAGCAGAAUAACCCAGGGAACUUUCCAAAACAAUGCCUGUGCUUGGAGCCCAGCCUAGGGGAUGAGGGUCAGUUGGUCAGUGGGGAGGCCCAGGCACCUGCCCUCUUGGAAGUCCCAUUAGAGAUUUUCCCGUGCAGCCCCAUUUUGGUCCUGUGUAAUGAAAUGACAUGUCAGAUCCAAACUGCCCAUCAGUUCAGUCUUGCAUUUCAUCAUCUCCAACUUCAAGACACCCUUAAAGACUCCAGAGGAAAAGACAAAGGUAAAGUGACAGGACCCGCAAGUGUCAGAGGCCCUGUGCUACCCCCAAACCAAGCAGUGAAGCCCAUGAUCAUCCCGGAGACUUGAUAAAGUAUAAAGUGUAGCAUUUACAAGGGUGGAUUCUACUGUCAGACUUGAUAACUCCAGCCUUGGGCAAGUAAUGUAACCACUCUGUGCCUCAGUUUCUUUAUUUGUAGGUGGAAAACUCUAGUACCAGCCUCAUAGGGUUGUAGUUGUGGUGAGUUCAUACACGUAAAGUGUUCAGAGAGGUGCCCGUCCUACCAUGUGGUGAGCACUCAGUAAGUGCUGGCUGUUAUCGUGCUUAUUCUUGUCAUCAUUAUCAUUCCCCAAAGAGCACUCUGGACAGUGUCAGCAGAGAGUGGGGAAAUGCAGGAUAUAGAAAAUAUGUCCUCGGCCAGGUGCAGUGGCUCACCCCUGUAAUCCUAGCACUUUGGGAGGCCAAGGUGGGUGGAUCACAAGGUCAGGAGUUCGAGACCAGCCUGGCCAACAUGGUGAAACCCUGUCUCUACUAAAAUAAAAAAAUCAGCUGGGCAUGGUGGUGCACACCUGUAAUACCAGCUACUCAGUAGGCUGAGGGAGGAGAAUAGCUUGAACCCGCGAGGUGGAGGUUGCAGUGAGCCAAGAUCACGCCAUUGCACUCCAGCCUGGGCAAUAGAGUGAGACUAUGUCUCAAAAAAAAAAAAAGAAAGAAAGAAAAUAUGUCCUCCCCUUGCUAGAUGCACCCUUUUCCUCAAGCACAGGGACGUCAGUGGAGUUUAUACCACUUUUAUAAAACUGACAUUUUUAACCCACACAAGAUCCUAGGGGGUUCUCAUCCCUGUUCUCUGACCCCCCGGCUGCUGUCAGCAUUGCCAGCACUGUGCCUUGGCUGUCAUAGGCUGCCUACCGAGGAUAUGAGUGUUCACAAAGGCAGCUUUGCAGAGAGAGAGAAAAUACAAUUCUGCACAAGAAACCAGCACAAUCAUAUUGAGCACAAAAUAGAAAAGAAAACCUUGAUUUCAUUGUUCAUGUACUUUGUACAGAUCUUGAGGCAGUAGUAGGGAUUAUAGAGUGGCUGGUCCUGAUAACCAGAAAAGGAAAAAGUCCAUCUUUUUCUCAAAACUGUUGUGACCUUCAGUUGGGUUGCCCUGGCUCUGAUGGGUUUGUGACGGGACCUCCCUGGGGAAAGAACAGUUCCUCUGAGGUGCCACCAAACCUUGGAGUUAUAAUACUAUUUAAGUGCUUGCUCUCUGUAAAGGAGUUCAUCUGGGUGCCCCAAAGAGCAGGGCUUACUGAUAAUGUUCAUGUAGAAUGGAUUCCCUCGCCCUGCCAGACACACAGGAAGCACCAACCAUUUUUCCCUCCCCUCAGAGGUCAGCCAUCUUGUUUAACAGAACUCUCCUCACCUUUCCUGGACAAGAAAGCGUUUCCCAUGCUGCGCUGCGUCCACAGUGUCUCUGGCCAGUCUGCCUGUGUCAGGGCCAUCUCAGGGGUCUGAGGAGCCCUUGCCAGUGGAAGGGCAGAUCCUCCACACCUCGGACUAGCCCCCAAGACCACCUAACAACUCUUCCUUUCUGGAACCUUCAUUGAAUUCGAAGGUGUCACUGUGUUGGGAAAAUUAUGGAAACACCUUGAAAUUGUGUUUACAAGACAUUGCAAUUUAACUCAUGUCUAUGGAUAAAGAACUAUGAGCUUCUUCCUAUUUAAAAACAAAAGAAUAUCCUGAAUAAAUAUAGUCAGUGUCUAAUAUAAUAUAAAUAAGUAGACUGAGGAGCUCUAUUGGUUCUUUCUGGUGUAAUAAGAAGUAACUUGAUGAAUUCCAUGUGCUGUUUUCAGGAGACACUGAAGAGGAAAAUUCAUCAAGACUCCCAUCCAAAUACUAUAGCCAUAACGAGUUAUUUCAGGACAAUCUGAGAGUUUGGGAAAUUAUUUUGUUUCCCUUCAGUUGUUUAAAGGACACUUUUUACUAAGCCAGAACUCUGUGGUCUCUUGUCAUUGUCUCAAGUCAAUAUGACAGAGAGGUUUAACUGGCAAGGCACCUCUUCUUAACUGGUAGUGGCCUGAAUCCAGCUCAUUAGAAGCUUUCCCCUGCGAGCAGCGGCAGCGUGUGGAUUGGGCCGAGGCUGGGGUGGGACAAGUGGAGUAGGCAUUUGGGUGAUGUCUGUGUGAAUCCCGGCAUAAACAAGCCACUUGCCUGUGGAGUGUUUCUGUCUAAAGGUCAGUCUCCUAGUGAUCAGCUCUUGCUUUUCUUCCAAGCAGGAGCUAUACCACCAGUCCUAUGACUGCGUCUGCGUCAUGUUUGCCUCCAUUCCGGAUUUCAAAGAAUUUUAUACAGAAUCCGACGUGAACAAGGAGGGCUUGGAAUGCCUUCGGCUCCUGAACGAGAUCAUCGCUGACUUUGAUGAUCUUCUUUCCAAGCCAAAAUUCAGUGGAGUUGAAAAGAUUAAGACCAUUGGCAGCACAUACAUGGCAGCAACAGGUCUGAGCGCUGUGCCCAGCCAGGAGCACUCCCAGGAGCCCGAGCGGCAGUACAUGCACAUUGGCACCAUGGUGGAGUUUGCUUUUGCCCUGGUAGGGAAGCUGGAUGCCAUCAACAAGCACUCCUUCAACGACUUCAAAUUGCGAGUGGGUAUUAACCAUGGACCUGUGAUAGCUGGUGUGAUUGGAGCUCAGAAGCCGCAAUAUGAUAUCUGGGGCAACACCGUCAAUGUGGCCAGUAGGAUGGACAGCACUGGAGUCCUGGACAAAAUACAGGUUACCGAGGAGACGAGCCUCGUCCUGCAGACCCUCGGAUACACGUGCACCUGUCGAGGAAUAAUCAAUGUGAAAGGAAAGGGGGACCUGAAGACGUACUUUGUAAACACAGAAAUGUCAAGGUCCCUUUCCCAGAGCAACGUGGCAUCCUGAAGAGUCACCUUCAUUUUGGCAAGAAGACUGUAUUUUCAGGAAGGUAUCACACACUUUCUGACUGCAACUUCUGUCCCUUGUUUUUGAUGUGCGUGCUGUCUGUCCUAUGGAGCCUCUGCAGACUCGUUCCCAUGACCCAGUGGCAUACCGUUUGGUGUCUGAUGUGUGCCCAGAUCGUUCUGCCACUUGCACUGUGCUUGCUCCCAAGCAAAAGGGAAAAGAAGUGCGCAUGAUAGAAGAAAAGUGUUGAGAGAACUAACAGAGGAGGAAGGUGAAACACACACACAUUCUUAAGGCAAUAAAACUAGGGGGUGUAUAUUAUCUUCUGGUGCAUGUUCUUUUCUGGAAAAUACGGUAGCUCGCCAACCGCAUCUGCUGGUCUGAUAUUCAAACACACAGUAUUCGUGAAUAAGUUGAUUCUGUCCCCCACACGGAGUCUCUGCUCACCCAUUGUCUCAUUGCCAGUGGUGUCCAAGGGCCCCCGUUGGGACCCACGGCUCUCUUCCCUCUGCUCCAUGUGUCUCAUGCCAGCAGCAUGUCGCCAUCCAUCACCAGAAUUAGUCCUCACAGCCUAGGACCAGUUUUGUAUCAAACUCGUCUGAUGUUUUGAUGCCAUUUGUCUUUUGUAAAGUUAAUUCAUUAAAAGUUUUAUGUACUUUGA